GCAGCGAUGGCGGAACCGUCCGGGCUCUUCCACUUGCUGCGAGCCGGGCCGGGCCGGUUCCUCUGCUACUGCCGGCCCGGUGGCGCCGUCUGUGUGACCGAUGCGAUGGAGGUCUGGGCCGCGGACCUCGGCGACUGUCCGGCGUUUGGCUGCGUACGUACCGGGGCCGGGGUCGGCGGUGGGGCUCGCGCCUGAGGCCCGGGGUGCCGGUGGGGCGGAGAUGGACUCGGCCCGGGUUAGGCCGUGUCGGACAUGCUCUCCUCCUCCUCCCUCUCUGCAGCGGUGUCCGCCGGAGGAGCACAGCGCGAUGCUCAGGGCCGCCCUGGGGCGCGGCACCGCUGAGCUGAGCCUGGGCCCGGGUUCGGCCACGCUGCGGCUGCCGGAGGAGCCGCGGUGCCCGGCCCUCGCCCUCGCCCAGCUACCCCCCGCCGAGGCGCGCCGCCAGCUGCAGGCGCUGGUGUUCGGCAUGGCCGGCUGCAUCGAGACCUUGGAGAGGCGCCUGGAAGCAGCCGUGGAGACACUGGCAACUUCCUGCAGCCCUCAGAAGAACUCUGCCCAGAGCCAGCAGCUCUUCCUGCCAGGUAGGCACUGCCAGAGGCACCUGCCCUGGUCCUGCUGUCCUGCUUUCUCCUUCCUGGAGGCUGCUGGUCCUGCGUUCAUGUGCUCUUCAGGACACACCGAGUACCCUUGGCUGUGGCUGCUGUCAGGCACCUGCUGUCCUGUGCCCUUCCUGACAGAGCAGGGGCAGGGCUCACUGUGCUGGCUCUCGGGGUAUCUGGGGUGCUCAGGUCACAGGCUGGUCAUCACCAGCCUCAGAAGAAGGGCAGUCCUUCUAGACUGGGAGCCAGGGCAGGUCCAUGGCUCCUUUGGGAGAGGAGGCCAGGCUUGGCCCUUCCUCACCCUCCAUGGCUGCUGGCCCUACAUGACUGGGCUGCUGGAAGCUCACCCUGGCCCUGGAGGGAGUGUCAGGGCUGAUAGAACACCUGGCUGACCUGCAAUCUGCAUCCUGCCUAUCCUCGACUGAGGCAGACCCCAGCCCCAGGAAGAACAGGGCUGCUGGCUCAGCUUUACCAGCCAAAAGGAAGGUCCCUGGGGAGUCUCUCAUUAACCCUGGUUUCAAAAGCAAGAAGGUACCGUCUGGAGUGAAUUUCGAGGACUCCUGACUAGUGCUGUCCUGUGCCCUGAUGACAGCCCUGUGGAGCCCUAUCAGCAUGUGCAUGGGUGGAGGAGAGGGUGUCCCUGUGUCCGGGGCCUGCUGAGCCCCUCGCACCCAGGGAGGCAACAGAGCCAUCAGCACCUGGCAGUUGGCCCUCUGCUGGGGUGGUGGCAGGGCCUUUGAGGAGACAACAGUGCUUGCUUUCUCCCCAGCAGCACUUCUGGGGCAGGGGCCACCUCCUGACCUCAUUUACCAUGAAUUGGUGAGGUUUGCAAGGAACUUUUUUAUCACUGCAGAAUAGAAAGAUUGUCCGUGCUUAUCUUCUUUCCAGUAAAAGGUGCUUUUAGCCA